rnacentral:lncRNA from 1 species
GUGUCUUCAACAAGAAUCAGUUGGGUCUUCUAGGUCCCACAUCUAGAGCUCUAUCCUUUCUGAAGUCAUCAACAUGAAUCCUCUGUCAACAUCUUAGUCCCUUGGAAAGGCAUCCUUGGGUUGAACCACAAAGCUAUAAAAAGGACUGAGCUUCUCUGAGAAAUAUAGUUGGUGAUGGCCAAGCAAGCUCCAGAUAUAUGAACCUAGGGAUCAGGAUUAUGGGCUGCUAGACAAAACAAUGUCCAAGUCCUUUUCCAACUCAAGACUUCAUUUUGCUGAUGUGGAAACUGAGGCCCAGAAAGGGAAGUGUUUUGCCCAGGAUCCUACAGAUGGCUCACCUGGUUAGCCCACCUGCUUGGCUGCUGCCUGCCUACUUCUGUGCUCCAGCAAUCCAGACCUGCUUGAGCCAGAUCGCUCUCCUGGCCCCUGCCCCAGUUCCAGCCCCAGCCCCAGCCCCAGCCACUGCUCACCACCCCAGGCCCAGUCCCAGGACCCAGGCUGCUGGUAGCUGUCCCAAUUUCUUCAG